UGGCGGCAGGCCUAACACAUGCAAGUCGAGCGGAAACGAGUUAUCUGAACCUUCGGGGAACGAUAACGGCGUCGAGCGGCGGACGGGUGAGUAAUGCCUAGGAAAUUGCCCUGAUGUGGGGGAUAACCAUUGGAAACGAUGGCUAAUACCGCAUGAUGCCUACGGGCCAAAGAGGGGGACCUUCGGGCCUCUCGCGUCAGGAUAUGCCUAGGUGGGAUUAGCUAGUUGGUGAGGUAAGGGCUCACCAAGGCGACGAUCCCUAGCUGGUCUGAGAGGAUGAUCAGCCACACUGGAACUGAGACACGGUCCAGACUCCUACGGGAGGCAGCAGUGGGGAAUAUUGCACAAUGGGCGCAAGCCUGAUGCAGCCAUGCCGCGUGUGUGAAGAAGGCCUUCGGGUUGUAAAGCACUUUCAGUCGUGAGGAAGGCGGUGUCGUUAAUAGCGGCAUUAUUUGACGUUAGCGACAGAAGAAGCACCGGCUAACUCCG
rnacentral:rRNA from 1 species